UGUAGGUCAGCAGCUGUAGCUCCAAUUCGACCCCUAGUUUGGGAACUGCCAUGUGCUGCAUGUGUGGCCCUAAAAAAAGACAGAAAAAAAUCAGUAUCCUAAAUGUAAGAGCUAAAAUUUACUCUACAAUAGUCAAGAAAUAAUAUACAACAACAGAGAUACCAAUAUUCUCCUAUCAAAUUUUCAAUAUUUUUUAAAAAGAGAACAUUUAGGAUUGAUGAGAGCAGUUUGAUUACAAACUCCCUGAAGGGCAGUUUGGCAGGAUGUCACACAUCUUAAAACUAUGUGUAUUUUAGACCUACAAUGAGAUCAAGUUUUCAUUCAUCCUAUGUGAAAAUUUUAAAAAUUGGAAAAUAUCUAGUAUUUGUCAGAUGGUGGGUAAACAGAUUGCUCAUUCAUAGCUGGUGGGAGUGAUAGUGUAAAUCAAUAUGAAAUUCUGGGGCCAAUUUGACAAUAUCUAGUAAAAUUGAAAAGGAAACAUGUAUAAGGAAGUUCACUGGCAUUAUUUGUAAUCAUGAAAAAUUAGGAAACAACUCUUAUCAAUAAAUAGAAGGAAAAUUUGGUAUAUUAACUAGAUAGAAUUCUGUAGUGUUUAAACGGGCUAGAUUUUAUAAACAAAAGAGAAGGUGAAUUUUUUUUGGUUGCACUCCCAGCAUGCAGAAGUUCUUGGGCCAGGGAUCGAACCUGCACCACAGCAGUAACCCAAGCCACAGCAGUGACAAUGCCAGAAUCUUAGCUACUAGGGCACCAGGAAACUCUGAGAGAAGGUUAAUUUUUAAAAACAGCAUUAAGGAAAAAAAUAACUUGCAUUUUUAGGGCACAGAAAAUACUAUUGUUUUAUGGUUAGAUAUAUGUAAACAUGAAAAGUGAACUGCAAAAUAAGUAAAACUGCCUCAGAAUGUGCAUCGAAAUGUAAACAGAAGCAGAGACUUCUGGCUAUGGUUUUGUGAAGAGGUCUGUGUAUUCUCUUAACACCCACAGCGCACACACGCGCGAACACACACACACACACACACACACACACACACACACUGUAUAACAUGAUUAAAAACAACCACCACCACCACCAUUUCAGGGCACUGGAACUAGAAAAGCAAACAACACAUUGCAAAAACUGUUUGAGCUUUAGGCGAUAAGAGUGUCUUCCUGUCCCUCUUGCCUGGGGUGCUCUCAUCCAUCCACGGCCCCAGCUCAGUCCAUGAGAAGAGCAAUUUUAUCAGCAUGGGGCUCGCCAAGAGAUCCAGCAGCUUUGCUGGCCGAAGAGACUGCUGAUUCACUUUAGUGCAAGGGGGAAACACCUAUGGAUAUAUCAGGAGUUUGACCACAUUCUCAAAGUGAAUAUUGCAGAAAAAUCCCCCGUUGCUUCCAGAAGGGAGUGAGGAGGAGUAACCAUUUGAAAAUAUACCAGAGCGUUCUGCUUAACAAGGCCCCCAAUGGAUUGGAUGAUUCCUACCUCUUUUGGUAAGAGUAAAUCUUCUUUACUCAGUAUAAAUUUAAAUGCUAAUAUCUUCCAGAAGUACCACCACAGACACACCAUAAAUUCUACUUUUCUCUUUUAUUUUCCCUUUUUGGCUGCCUGGUAGCAUAUAGCAUUCUCAGGCCAGAGGUGUCAGAUCUGAGCCGCAGUCAUGACCUAAGCUGCAGCUGCGGCAACGCUGGAUCCUUAACCCACUGUGCUGGCUGGGAAUUGAACCUGCAUCCCAGUGCUCCCAAGAAGCCACUGAUCCCCUUGCAUCGCAGCAGGAACUCCCAGAAAUUAUGCUCUACCAGCUUAUCUGGUAUCCCUUAGCCCAGUAAAGUUGACACAUAAAAUUAACCAUCAAAAGUAUGUAUUUUGGUGGCAGGGUUAUAUUGGAAAUCUCUGUUAUCUUUCAUUCAAUUUUGCUGUGACUGUAAAACUGCUCUAAAAAGUUAUUAAUCAAAAGCAAAAAUGAAAAACCAAACAUACAAAUAACACCAGAGCAAAGACAUUAGCCUCCAAACUCCAUGCGGAAGACAGAUUUUGUAGUUUACUUAAAAAAAAAAACAAAACCCCACAAAGAUGUAUCAGAAUCUGUUAUUGCUCCUAUAUAUUAUCUAAAAUGUACAGUUGUCAACAAAAAAGAAACAAGAGUACAAAGAUAUAGGAAUCUGUGACUCAAACAAAAAAAGAUCAUCAAUAAAAAUGGACUCUGAGUGGGCCAGAUGUUGGAUUUAGCAAAGAUGUCAAAGCACCUGUCAUAAAUAUGUUCAGAGAAUUAAAGGAAGGUGUUUGAAGAAUUAAAAGAAAUUGCUAUGAAAAUUACUUAGUAAAUAGGAAAUCAAUAGAGAAAUAUAAAACUACUUUUAAAAAACCAGCUAAAAUGGAAAUUCUGGAGUUUUAAGAUAUGGUAACUGAAUGAAAAAUGUGUUAAUGGUCUCACCAUCAGAUCUGAGAUGGCAGAAAAAGGUAGAGAUCGCUCAAAGGUAAGUCACUAGAGAAGGUCCAAUCCAAAGAACAGAGAUAGGAGAUACUGAAAAGAAAUGAACAGAGUAUAAGAUGUCUCUGGGAACACAGCAGAUGUCUCAACACUCAUGUAAUGGGAGCUCCAUAAGGAGAGGUGAAAGAAUGAGCCAAAAAAUCAUCUAAAGAAAUAAUGGCCCCAGAGUUCCCAAAUUUGUUUUGUUUUGUUUUUUUGUCUUGUUGCCUUUUCUAGGGCGGCACCCUCGGCAUAUGGAGGUUCCCAGGCUAGGGGUCGAA